rnacentral:tRNA from 1 species
GGCUUUGUAAAAAGUUAAAAUUCUUUUACAAUGAAUUAUUAUCCAAAAAGGAUCUUUUUAAUUUU